GGAUAGCUCAGUUGGUAGAACAUGAAAAUCUUAAUCCCAGGGUCAUGGGUUCGAGCCCCAUGUGGAGCA